AUGAAGCUGAACAAGGGAGUCCUGGUUCCGGGGCUCGGGGUCUUUGCUGGGGUCCGAGAGCAAUUCCACAGCAAAGAAGAGGCAGUUUCGGUGCUAAGGCCUGUCUUCCAGCUGGACAUCGGGGUGCUGUGGCUGCAGGACCUCCAGUCUCCCAAUGACAUCAUCCCUGGUGAGAAGGCAGCAGCCACCUUCCCCUUCCUGUCCCACGUCUGGCCGGGUGUGUUAUCCCUGCUCUCUGGAAAUGGCUGGGAGCAGCAGAGAAUUGUCUGCAAAGCUCGGGGUACAGCAGGAGUUCCUCCCGAAGGAACCACAGCCCAAGAGCUGUUUCUCCGAAGGACCUUUUCUAUGGGAUUUGGUUAUGAACGUUGCAUGGGAAUGUGGCUUGCUGUGGCAGUGAGGCUGUGCCUUCUCCUUGCAGACGAUGUCAAGAUUGAGUCGCUCAACUACCAGCAGCUCUCGCGAGCCUCCGGCGUCCCGCUGAACGUGGUGCUGCGCUGCGUGCGAGAGAGCGUGCUCUUAUAUUGUCAGCUCCUGAGGAACAGGGAGCCCGUCUCAUUUGUCUUUAAGAACAUCGGCGUUGUGACGUGCCAAGAUGACUUCCUCCUCAUGAGGUUCUUCUGCAGCUGCAUUGCAACGCUGGAAAGCAAUGCCACUGUCCUUUCUCUGCUCUGCACUGUAAGUUGAGGAGGUUUUGAGGGUGUGCCAUCAGAUCACUGCUGGCCAGCCUGGACGUGGCAGGCCAGUCCAAUGCCUUUCACUGUGCUUGCCCCCACUGCUUUCUCCACUGGCAAAGAGAUUUCCUGGAUCCCUGCCCCUGCAGAAAGCCUGGCAGUGCUCUUGCACAGCCUCUCUAUUUGGCCAUCCUGCUCCUUCAGAGCAGAACAAAGCUCUGAUGUUCACGGAAGAGGCUUUGGUGAAGAGCAGCUUUCUCUUGGCGUGGGAGCCAGGCUUGCUUCCUGUCAAGAAGAGCCAUGAAAAAAUGGCCUUGGCAAGCCUCCAGCAGGUCUGUGUCCCUUUGCAGAGAUUUUGGACGGAAGAUUCUGCUGACUUCGGGCCAGAGACCACCGCCCAUGGGAUCCGGGUGUUCCCGAGGUGAGCGCAUUUCCUCUGCAGCACUUAGCUGGCCAGGAGACAGGCUUAUUUCCCACCUCCUCCUCUGAGACGUGCCCUGCUGGGUCUCCGUGCUCGGCAUCCAGUCGGGUAGAAAUCCUGGGAAGUCUGGCUCCUGGGAAUCAUGAUUGUGUUACCUGUGCCCAAGCUGUCCCGAUUCUCAUCAGAGAGAAUGGACUGCACGUGCAGAGGAAUUUGGGCUACCUGUGCUGGUUUGGCGUGGCCAGGAAGGAAAAGGAUGCCACGCUUUGCAUAGCACAUAGAUAAAUACUGCCGACCAGCUGUGUGGGGUAGGAAGUCAUCCUUCUUCAAGGGUUGUCACUCUUUGUUUCCAGGUUUCAGCUCACUGUGGAAAAGAGCAGAGCAGAGGUUGCCGCAGAAAAGAAAGCGGAAGAUGAGUAGAGGUGAGGGAACGGGUCCCAGCUGUAGGGAGGUGGGCCCUGUCCCAUGCCGGGUGACUGGAUCCAGGUUCAUGUGCUGUGCCUGGGGCUGCUCUGAAGAACUUCUUUCUCUUUUGGUUCCAGGGGGCUCUGCCAGCAGGCUGCUGCAGAGGCGGAAGACACUUCCCCCCUCC
rnacentral:lncRNA from 1 species